AGAAUCAACGCUGGCGGCGUGCCUAACACAUGCAAGUCGAACGAGAAAGUGGAGCAAUCCAUGAGUAAAGUGGCGCACAGGUGAGUAACACGUGACUAACCUACCUUUUAGUGGGGGAUAACCUAGGGAAACCUGGGCUAAUACCGCAUAAUACCUACGGGUCAAAGCAGCAAUGCGCUGGAAGAGGGGGUCGCGGUCGAUUAGUUAGUUGGCAGGGUAAUGGCCUACCAAGACUGUGAUCGAUA
rnacentral:rRNA from 1 species